rnacentral:lncRNA from 1 species
AAUUAAGAUUGCUAGGAGUCACCAUUAACAUGUAAUUAAGAUUACUAGAAACAGUUUUAUAUGCAAGAUGUGUAAGAAUAGUAAAAUGUGUUUUUUUUUUUUUUUUGGUAAAAGGUUAUAAAGGGUUUUUGCUUAAAAUUUCUGAGUCAUCAUUUUGGCAAAAUAAGUAAUUUAGGGCAAUCUGGAAUUCCAAAAUCAAACUUCAGUUUCAAAAUUGUCUUUUCUAAUGCCUGGCUUUUUGGAUGGAUCAGAUGGCCCCUGAAAACAUCCAGAAAAGAGUUAUAAUAGAGUUGGAUGAACAGAAAAGUAUCUAUGCUGCAGCUGGCACUUAUGACCUACGGAAAAAUACAUUAAAUGAAGAUUAUGGAAAUUCAGUGAAGGAGAUGAGACUGCUAAGUUAAGUGAGUAGACUCUUUAUCUAGCUCAUUCUUUAAUCGAUUCUAUUUUAGGAGGUUUGGCUUAUGGGGACCUUCGAUGAGCACCAUACUCCAAACUCUAGGUAUUAUGCUCCCAAUAGUCAUAAUAAUAGUCUCGUUGCUGCGCUAUAUUCUCUCAAAGGUUUUAAAUGCUUAUAUGCAACCAUCACUAGGAUGUCAUUUGGUCUCUCUUCGACUGGAAUAACAAGAGCUGAAAGAAAUGUGCAACCAUGAGGACACCGUAACCUGUCAAUGACAUGCUGAGAUGGGAAACCCAAAAUGAUGGUAACUGAGAGUGGCACUAAGGCCCUAAGUUUUGGUCACAUUCUCACCUAAGUGAGAACCUGAUCAAAAAGGGGAAAUUUCUGAAAUGAAAUGAUAGGAGGCCAUUGUUUUGGACUGGGCUCAUGCACUAAGCCUCAACAGACCAAACCAAACCAAAAUGGAGUCGCUAGUUCUAAGACUUUAAGGAAACACACAGAUCCUAGAACACACCACAAGCAAAAUUUUGUUUGUCUCCUGCAAAUCUCUAUAACAAACAUUCUCGACAGCAUAGGUAUCCACCCCUGAAGUUCCCAAUAAAUGUUUUAACCCAAUUCAUUUCCUCUCACCUAGAGACCAUCUAGCUUCAGAUGAUCAUGCAACAAAGGCUCCAGCCAAUUCCAGGUAAAGACACCACCCCUGGCCAUCAAGGAGAUACCCUGCCUCCACUAGAGAGAGCAGAGUGAGAGUUCUGUGAUCCUCAAUAGGUAGAAACUACACCCCAAGCCAGCAUGAAGCAGCUACAGAAGAAAGACCAGCUGUCCCUCUGCCUCCCAUAAAGAUUUAUGAAGAUCACAUCUCUCAGUGGGGAAAUGAGUCAAGAAAAUAAUGUCUGGAGGCAGGGAACAUAAGGCCAAUUAACACUUCAGCUAUGACAGGAAAUAUCCUUUCCAUAGGGUGUACACUAAGUGACUUCGUAACCUUACUUUGUCCUCUUCAUUUACAUAGGGCAUACAGCAAGUAACCAAUGGAAACUGCUAGAGUGUAUUUAAACUCCCACAAAUUCUGUAAUGGGGCCCUAUGCUCAUGCCCAUUACCACACUGUGAAGUGUACUUUCAUUUCGAAUAAAUAUCUCCUUUUGCUACUUUAUUC